GGGCGCAUAGCUCAGUUGGUUAGAGCGCUACACUCACAUUGUAGAGGUCAUAGGUUCAAGUCCUAUUGCGCCCACCA
rnacentral:tRNA from 1 species